UAUCAAUAAGCGGAGGAAAAGAAACCAACAGGGAUUGCCCUAGUAACGGCGAGUGAAGCGGCAACAGCUCAAAUUUGAAAUCUGGCGCAAGCCCGAGUUGUAAUUUGUAGAGGAUGCUUCUGGGUAGCGACCGAUCUAAGUUCCUUGGAACAGGACGUCAUAGAGGGUGAGAAUCCCGUAUGUGACCGGCCCGCACCCCUUACGGUAGCUCCUUCGACGAGUCGAGUUGUUUGGGAAUGCAGCUCUAAAUGGGAGGUAAAUUUCUUCUAAAGCUUAAAUACCGGCCAGAGACCGAUAGCGCACAAGUAGAGUGAUCGAAAGAUGAAAAGUACUUUGGAAAGAGAGUUAAAAAGCACGUGAAAUUGUUGAAAGGGAAGCGCCUGCAACCAGACUUCGCGGCAGUGUUCCGCCGGUCUUCUGACCGGUUCAUUCUCUGUCGCGAGGCCAUCAUCGUCUGGGCCCGCCGGAUAAGACCUUGGGAAUGUAGCUCCCCUUCGGGUGAGUGUUAUAGCUCAUGGUGAUGCGGCGAGGCUCGGGCGAGGUCCGCGCUUCGGCAAGGAUGAUGGCGUAAUGGUUGUCGGCGGCCCGUCUUGAAACACGGACCAAGGAGUCUAACAUCUAUGCGAGUGUUCGGGUGUCAAACCCCUACGCGUAAUGAAAGUGAACGGAGGUGGGAUCCGCAAGGUGCACCAUCGACCGAUCCUGAUGUCCUCGGAUGGAUUUGAGUAAGAGCAUAGCUGUUGGGACCCGAAAGAUGGUGAACUAUGCCUGAAUAGGGUGAAGCCAGAGGAAACUCUGGUGGAGGCUCGCAGCGGUUCUGACGUGCAAAUCGAUCGUCAAAUUUGGGUAUAGGGGCGAAAGACUAAUCGAACCAUCUAGUAGCUGG
rnacentral:rRNA from 1 species